CCAAAUGCCAUUUCAGACCCCCGGACUUUUACAAAGGAGUCAUCCACAUCCCCAAUCUCACUUUUAACUUCUCUGCAAAGUUGAGAGGUCUGAGAUUUUUUUAUUUAUUUUUAUUUUUAUUAUUUUCCCCUAUGGCUAUGUACAGAUUUUAAUAAUUACACAACAACUUUCUUCUAAUGAUAUUGGGCUAGGGACAUACUAGAAACCUUUACAGGCUUUUUGCUUUAGGCCCCUAGUUGUAGUUGUGGUUCA